ACGCUGGCGGCAGGCCUAACACAUGCAAGUCGAGCGGUAGAGAGAAGCUUGCUUCUCUUGAGAGCGGCGGACGGGUGAGUAAUGCCUAGGAAUCUGCCUGGUAGUGGGGGAUAACGUUCGGAAACGGACGCUAAUACCGCAUACGUCCUACGGGAGAAAGCAGGGGACCUUCGGGCCUUGCGCUAUCAGAUGAGCCUAGGUCGGAUUAGCUAGUUGGUGAGGUAAUGGCUCACCAAGGCGACGAUCCGUAACUGGUCUGAGAGGAUGAUCAGUCACACUGGAACUGAGACACGGUCCAGACUCCUACGGGAGGCAGCAGUGGGGAAUAUUGGACAAUGGGCGAAAGCCUGAUCCAGCCAUGCCGCGUGUGUGAAGAAGGUCUUCGGAUUGUAAAGCACUUUAAGUUGGGAGGAAGGGCAGUUACCUAAUACGUGAUUGUUUUGACGUUACCGACAGAAUAAGCACCGGCUAACUCUGUGCCAGCAGCCGCGGUAAUACAGAGGGUGCAAGCGUUAAUCGGAAUUACUGGGCGUAAAGCGCGCGUAGGUGGUUUGUUAAGUUGGAUGUGAAAUCCCCGGGCUCAACCUGGGAACUGCAUUCAAAACUGACUGACUAGAGUAUGGUAGAGGGUGGUGGAAUUUCCUGUGUAGCGGUGAAAUGCGUAGAUAUAGGAAGGAACACCAGUGGCGAAGGCGACCACCUGGACUAAUACUGACACUGAGGUGCGAAAGCGUGGGGAGCAAAC
rnacentral:rRNA from 1 species